CGUGCGGGGUGUUCGUCCGAGCCCCCCGAACCCUCUCUGGCUACUGGCCUGCGUACACAGGCUAAAAUUUAACAAAAAAUGUCUCACCUAUUUUCUUGUGCUAGAUUGCGUUGAGGUCACAAAGGAAUAUCAUAGGAUAACAACUACAGUAAUCAGCGGUAAUCUUACUGUUGGGAUUCCUGUGCCCGAGAGGGUCUUGGUCUUAAACUCUACCCAUAAGUCUGUGCUCCAUCUCCCGCUGAAUUUCGUGUAACUGGUCAAACUUGCGAGUAUGAGUGAGUUGAGGUUGCCGUUUUUCUAAAAAGAAGAAUGACAUCUUUUGAAUAACAAGGAUAUGCUAUACAGUCAUAUGCAAAUGGCUACGGCUCUGUAACACGCGGUUGACAAAGGGGAAUAGCAUGGCGUCGACUUCUUGCCUUCCAGGGCGGGUAAAGUUUAUAAGUAAGUACUACUAUGGAUAAGUCAAGUUUAUGAAAGAUUUGAGGGAUUGAGGCUAUACUCAUCUUAAUAAUUUUUUUAUCUUGUUGGUUGAAUUAUUAAGUCUUAUGUCAUAUAGUCAGUUAUUAAAGUUAUUACUGUAAAACCCAAGACUAAUUUAUGAUACCAUGAAACCGUAAAUUCUCUCUUCUGUAAUAAACGUCAUUGUACAGUGCCUCCUUCUGAAUAUUCUCAAUAUCUUUCUUGUGGGCUUCUUUAAGGGUGUACUGACAUUAGUGUUGCUCAGUAACGACGUUGCUACGCUGAUGGUGUUGCGCGCGCAUAUACAUAACAUGGAAUUCGUCAUUCCUAGCUUUCCUGAAGUAAAAGAAGCAAAAAUAUGCGUUUCAAGUUCCCAAAGAUUGACUUUAAGUUGAUCUCAGCCUUUUCGGGUGAUGAUAUUUCCCAUAUUUUGCAUAAACGAAGAUUUAGUCAAGCCAACCUUUUUGAAGCCAAAGUUCAAUUUUCACUACCUGCGCGUGCUGCAAACACCGAAUGCUCGCGCACGCAUUGAAAAUCUUAUUUCAAAGUAGCACGCGCUGUAUCAGAAUUUUAAAAUACUUUUUCCAUUUUCAUCAUGACGUGACGGAUAUGGUUCUUUUGAAGUCUAAAUACCACGAAACACCAUUGGAAUUUGUGGAAUUUAAAUUUCAUCAUGUGAGAUAUCAGUGUGUCUUAGCAGGCCGAAUGAGCACGCGCUGGCUUUGUUUCAAUUCCGGUUUUGCCUUUUCUAAAAAAAGUUUUUUUGUUGCAAGUUAUUUUUAAACGCAAUAUUUUUUUCUGUAUUCCUUUUUAUUAAAUUCUCCUUCAUAUGGUCAAGCAUGGAUUUAGCGUUAAUGUGUUAGAAACUAAAAUUAUAUCAAAUAAUCUGGAUUUCAGGACCUUUGAAAAAUUAUAAAAAAAAAAUUUCUCAAUCAUUUCUAAAACGCAUGCUUGGCUUAAUGCAUCCAUCCCUCAACAUUCAUAAACAUAUUCAAUAUUUGUUUUAGAGCAAUUUUACUUGAAAUAUUUGCUUUUAUCUGUAUCUAUGAUGUCACAUUAUAACGUCACGGGGUAACAUCAUAAUAGUCAGCACACUUGUCGUGGUCAACUUGGCAAAUAUCAGACCCUUAUGACUUUCUACAAGGCUUUUAUGCUAUAUUCACUUUUCCUUAGCAACAGAUGUCAGUACACCCUUAACGCGGCUCAACUCGCUCUUCAGUGACUCUACUUCUGUGUUCAUGUGUUGUAGUCCCUUGUCGAUUUCUAUAACUUAUGCAUUGGUUUUUCUAAUAAAUCCCUCCAAUGCUUCGACUUUCCCUUGUAUAGAGUUUACCUUCUCAUCGACUGCUACCACCUUUUUUUCUAUGCCUUCCACUUUGGUCUCAAUAACUGUGAGCCGGGAGAGUAUUAGGUCUAGUGUGCUUGCAAUGCCGGCAGCCAUGUUCAAGGCCUCAAACACCUUGUCCUCUUCUGUUUCCCUUUAACUUUUUGGCGUCAAGGCUUUUAUUUUCAGAAUCCUCCGAACCUAGUCUGUCAGUGACCUUUCUAUUUUUUCUUUUAGCAAAGCCCUAAAAGGCGUCCAUAAAGAAAUAGCGUCAAAUUCAAAACAUUUUACGGAGCGAAGGUUUCUGCGUGUUCACUCAGUCAUGCCCAUUAUCCAAAAAAAACCUUAGGUAUUAUAUCCUGAAUUUAUAUUGGGUUACAUUGAAACGCGUUUGCUCUAGAGCAAAAAAAGGCAUUUUCGGCUUAAUUGACCGCCUUCGUUAAUUAGCCGAAUUCCUGGGAUUUGUUUUAGAUAUGAGUAAAAUGACAAUUUCGUCAUGAAGUUGGAUAAUGUAUCUGUUUGUUAUAGAAGUUUUAAUCUUUUA